AGCAUGCUGGUAUAUUUAGCCAAGUAUCUCGCAAUGUGUAUAUUUUAUUUAGAUUUUUUGUCAUUUCGGACACCAUGUUAAUCAUGAAUAUCUUUCUAAUUAUGUAAGGCUGGGCAUUGUAUCUCGUCAUCAAACGCUAGACCAGAAAUAGUCAGAAGUUUACAUUUUUUCCCUACUUCCUCGUUAUGCAGACAUAAGCACAAUUGGCUCCAUUGAGGUGCGGAUGUUUACUUUCUACAAUUUUUCAGUUUCGUCCUAAGAACAGAUUGUAGUGGUAAAAUAAAAAGGGAUACCUUUCUUUUGUGCCAUUUGGGCUAAAUGGGAAUCUAAGCUUCACUCCAGUCAAAACAGGCUCUGCGAACGUUCGAUUCCAUUCAUUUGAUAUGGGCUAGUGUUUUAGCGUAGCCAACGUUCUAAAGCCAUUUUUCAGCCUUGGGUGAAUUUUGACUCGUUCUAUUGUCCAGCUUACCUAUGUGGAUGCCUCCAUCUAGUUCCCAAGAGCAGCAGACCGAUCUGCCACCCCCAGUAGUUCAGCUGUAGUCACAGCAGUCCUCUGCUGUGGUAUUUAAUUUACCGGCUUCACCAGUUCCUACUUCACUGGCCUUGAAGGGAGAAACUUUUGACGAUUCCCAAAUGGAUACAGAUCUGCAAUGCUCUCCACCACUGCCUGACAGCCUCACCCAGAAGUGCAUACACUGGGCCUAUCAAGACUGACAAAGCAGAGAUGGGUGGGUGACAAGGAAACUUAAAACACAACAUGCACACACACACCCUCUCUCUCUCUGUCACACACACAUUAUCCCCAAUGUAAAUACAUUGUAGUUACUUGUUUAUUUUAUGUAUGCUUCAUUUUAUUUGAGGAAAAUGUCUGCAAUAAAGUUU